CAAAGGAUAUUUUUUUAUAUGUAUUACUAGAAAACAGGGUAUGAAUUGGCAUGUUCAAACUUUCAGAAAAGCACACGUAUGUAUCCAAUUAAUUGCUUCAAUGAUAAAGUGUGACUGUUUUAGAGAAAGGUCACAGAAUGUCACUUUUAGAAAGGUCACAGAAUGUCACUUUUACGUAAAAAAGUGACACAAUGUCACUUUUUUUAAGAAAAGUAACAGAAUGUCACUCUCU
rnacentral:lncRNA from 1 species